GAUCCUGGCUCAGGAUGAACGCUAGCUACAGGCUUAACACAUGCAAGUCGAGGGGCAGCAUGGUCUUAGCUUGCUAAGGCCGAUGGCGACCGGCGCACGGGUGAGUAACACGUAUCCAACCUGCCGUCUACUCUUGGACAGCCUUCUGAAAGGAAGAUUAAUACAAGAUGGCAUCAUGAGUCCACAUGUUCACAUUAUAAAGUAUCGUAGACGAUUGGGAGUG
rnacentral:rRNA from 1 species